UGAUGUCUUUGGGCUAUGUGAGCUGUGUGUGUUUCUGUGUCAGACCGGUCCACACCUCAUAUCCUCAUCAGCUUGUGUCCUACAAUGGUUGGAAUCUAUAGAUUUCAUUAUAUGAACAAGCUUUCUAUCAAUAGGUCAGAGCCUUAGGCCUGAUUAUACAACUUAUGACAGUUUCCUGCCCUUUUUGUAGACUCUUUCAAAAAACCCCUGUGGCUAUCUAGGGCAAUUAUGCGUCACCUCAAAUCCUUCAAUUGCGAUUUGGCAACUCUUCUCUCAUCGCUUUUGAUUGCAGUGGCAGCACGCCUAUGAGCUCACCUGACCGUAGUGGGUGUGGCCUGCUAUGAUGCCACUGCACCUAUAUAAAAAAAAAAACACCUAAACUCCGCCUCCAACAGCAACACAACCAAUCAUCUGUCAACACUCCAAAUAUGGAAAGGCCCUAACCCUUUAAAGAGCAGCUUAAUGAAGCAGCAAAGCGGCUCACAAUCGGAGACUCCAGCUCAAACCGCUCCAGGACUAACAGCCCAGGAGGGGUUUGGUUAAAUGGAGUGUCUUGCAUGGGAACUGAGUCAGUGGGGAGGGGUAUCACUACAGUAUUCUUUAAGCCUGUCAGUCAUCAAAGCUGUCAGAGUGCAAUGGAGCAGACGAUGGCUUCAUGCUGCAUUUGAGAGGUGUGUCGAGAGUAGCCCAUGUUGAAUAGAUCUGAGUGUCAGGGCUCAGAUCCAUUCAUAAAGCAGGUUAGAAAUGGAGAACGAGUCCUUAUAAACCAUACAAUGGGAGGAAAGCUGUUUAACAACUGCUCUUAUGUUAUAUGGAGUAUUGCAGACAGAUGCAGAAUGGUUGUGACCAGAAAACUGUCUUUGUUUAAACUAUUUAUUACCUUUAUUUAAAGCAUUUUAACUGCAGGCUAGUAGAGCAACUAGAUGUUCUUAUCUUAGCCUUACAGAAUGGAACUGCUUUUUAAACCUUUUUUUUAUUUUUUUAUUUGUAAUCCUUACAUGUGCUAAACAGUGAUUGUAAUGACACAAGGUUAUAAACUAGGCAGUCAGAUUAAUUAUACACAUAAAGGUUAUUGAGAAUAGUAUAAAAAGGAUCUCAUAAAUCAUGUUGAUAUGUUAUCUCUGCAAACAUGUCCCAUGAAUAUUAACCAAAGUAUAUUAGUUAAUAUUCAGUAUUUGUUAAAGGGGUAGUGCACCCAAAAAUGACAAUCUAGUCAUGAUUUGCUAUUAUGUCAUUUUGAACCUGUAUGACUUAUUUUCUUCUCUGAAAUAUCACAGAGGAUUUUUUUUUUUUUUUUUUUGGACUUUUAGAAUAGAGUUUUAUUUUUUGUUCUGUAUGUAUCCUCUCUGUGCAACAGGUUUGAGGGCAUAGUGGAAAAGUGAUGCUAUGGUUUGCAAGAUGGAAAACAUACAAUGCUAGGCUUUUCAUCUUUAAAAAGUGUAAUUUUUAAUCCUGGGUUAUUCUGUUCCAUGUUUUAAAGUGUUCAUAUCAACCUGAUCUCAUGAGAAAAUGUUUUUAUGCUGUUUUACAUUUUAGCGACAUUUUGAUGAAAACUAAAUAAAGUAAGCAUGACGGUCCACCCCUAAAUCUAACCAUAAGUGGGGUGUAUGCAGAUACAAAACAUAUGAAUGAGAUUAUAUGAAUUCAAAUUCACCAUCAAUUUGCCAAAACGUGUUAGAAAUUCACAUUUUACUGUAUACCCUGACCGGUUAAGUUCUGGAGCUGGGCUUAAUAACCCAGGGUUAAAUGUUGCUUAACUUAAAGGGUAAAUGUGGCCUUAACCUUGGGUUUCAAAAAAUGUAGUAUAAAAUAGUGUAAUAUUCAUUGUCUUACUGGCUCCUUCAGUUUUUUUUCUCUAUAUGAAGCCGUUCGCCAGUAAUCUAAUUUUCAAAAGCCAAAACAAACAGCCACCUGUAAGACUGUACUUUGAGGGUGCUUAUGACAGUUUUUUAAAACGGUGGACAGCUGUAUCUCUCAUUUUGGCUGCUUGUUGCCUUUAUGUAAACGGCUAUUGCUUAUCUCCCACUCAGCUUUGCAUAACGUUACACGGAGGUUUCCCACACUGCUUUGCAUUUUUACCAGGGUAUUUGAGCAGCAGGCUAUUCUGUUUUCUUUCUCUAUUUUGAGAUAAGAGCAAUAACUCUCACAUCGUUUUUCUUUCUGGUUUAUGUAUCUUCUGUUAAAUUUAGUGCUUUGCUGCUUGAGGGUGAGGCUUCAGUGUAAACAUUAAAGCAGAUGCCAAGUGGUUGUCAACCGCUGUCACAUCUCAGAGUGACUGUUACAGAGAUGUAGCUCCACUGCUUCUGUGUGUGACAGAAUAGAUGAGGAUGGGGAAGAGGAAU